UCAGACGAUGCGUCAUGCAUAUCAAUAAGCGGAGGAAAAGAAACUAACAAGGAUUCCCCUAGUAACGGCGAGUGAAGCGGGAAGAGCUCAAAUUUGAAAUCUUAAAGGGUUUCCCUUUACGAAUUGUAGUUUAAAGAAGUGUUUUCUGUUGAGGUUUUGGUAAAAGUUCUUUGGAAUAGGACAUCAUAGAGGGUGAGAAUCCCGUAUUUGACCUUUACUUUCAACUUUGUGAUACACUUUCAAAGAGUCGGAUUGUUUGGGAAUGCAGUCCAAAAUGGGUGGUAAAUUUCAUCUAAAGCUAAAUAUUGGCGAGAGACCGAUAGCGAACAAGUACCGUGAGGGAAAGAUGAAAAGAACUUUGAAAAGAGAGUUAAACAGUACGUGAAAUUGUCAAAAGGGAAGCGUUUGACACCAGUGUUGUUUUUCUGAAAAUCAAUUAAAGAACUGUUUAUGCUAAGCUGUUUAGACUUUAUCAGCUAAUCUGUUUAGUUUUGAGCUUUUCUUUAAUGCACUUUUCAGUUAACAAGUCAACAUCAAUUUCUUUUGCUGUAAAAAAGCUUGAGGAAGGUGGCUUGAGAUUCGUCUUAAGUGUUUAUAGCCUCUUGCCUAUGCAGUCGGAGAGAUUGAGGUCUGCAGCGUAGAUCCUUCGGGGCUAAAUGCAUUCGUGCUAAGUUAUAGCAUUUUAUAGACAACUUGUUGACUAUGAUUUGUCUUGUAGCUUACUCGCUUAUGUUAUUUUACCUACGCUUAGGAUGUUGACACACGCGCGUGCUCG
rnacentral:rRNA from 1 species